GUCUCCGUAGGUGAACCUGCGGAGGGAUCAUUACACAAUAACCAGGCGGGCUGGACACCCCCCGCUGGGCACUGCUUCACGGCGUGCGCGGCGGGGCCGGCCCUGCUGAAUUAUUCACCCGUGUCUUUUGCGUACUUCUUGUUUCCUGGGUGGGCUCGCCCGCCCUCAGGACCAACCACAAACCUUUUGCAAUAGCAAUCAGCGUCAGUAACAACGUAAUUAAUUACAACUUUCAACAACGGAUCUCUUGGUUCUGGCAUCGAUGAAGAACGCAGCGAAAUGCGAUACGUAGUGUGAAUUGCAGAAUUCAGUGAAUCAUCGAAUCUUUGAACGCACAUUGCGCCCUUUGGUAUUCCAAAGGGCGUGCCUGUUCGAGCGUCAUUUGUACCCUCAAGCUUUGCUUGGUGUUGGGCGUCUUUUGUCCCCAGUUCGCUGGAGACUCGCCUUAAAGUCAUUGGCAGCCGGCCUACUGGUUUCGGAGCGCAGCACAAGUCGCGUUCUUUGCCAGCCAAGGUCAGCGUCCAGCAAGCCUUUUUUUCAACCUUUGACCUCGGAUCAGGUAGGGAUACCCGCUGAACUUAAGCAUA
rnacentral:rRNA from 1 species